rnacentral:tRNA from 1 species
GUUUUAAUAAUUUAAAUAAAAUAUUAGUUUUGUAAACUAAAAAUAAGAAAAUCUUUUAAAACU